rnacentral:piRNA from 1 species
UGGGUUACUCUUAGAAAAUUCCUGCUUCU